CUCCGGUUGAUCCUGCCGGACCCGACUGCUAUCAGAGUGGGACUAAGCCAUGCGAGUCAACAUAGCAAUAUGUGGCAUACGGCUCAGUAACACGUAGUCAACAUGCCCAGGGGACGUGGAUAACCUCGGGAAACUGAGGAUAAACCGCGAUAAGUCACUACUUCUGGAAUGGGUAAUGACUCAAAUCUACAUGGCCCCUGGAUUGGACUGCGGCCGAUCAGGCUGUUGGUGAGGUAAUGGCCCACCAAACCUGUAACCGGUACGGGCUCUGAGAGGAGGAGCCCGGAGAUGGGCACUGAGACAAGGGCCCAGGCCCUAUGGGGCGCAGCAGGCGCGAAACCUCUGCAAUAGGCGAAAGCCUGACAGGGUUACUCUGAGUGAUUUCCGUUAAGGAGAUCUUUUGGCACCUCUAAAAAUGGUGCAGAAUAAGGGGUGGGCAAGUCUGGUGUCAGCCGCCGCGGUAAUACCAGCACCCCGAGUGGUCGGGACGUUUAUUGGGCCUAAAGCAUCCGUAGCCGGUUCUACAAGUCUUCCGUUAAAUCCACCUGCUUAACAGAUGGGCUGCGGAAGAUACUAUAGAGCUAGGAGGCGGGAGAGGCAAGCGGUACUCGAUGGGUAGGGGUAAAAUCCGUUGAUCCAUUGAAGACCACCAGUGGCGAAGGCGGCUUGCCAGAACGCGCUCGACGGUGAGGGAUGAAAGCUGGGGGAGCAAACCGGAUUAGAUACCCGGGUAGUCCCAGCUGUAAACGAUGCAGACUCGGUGAUGAGUUGGCUUCUUGCCAACUCAGUGCCGCAGGGAAGCCGUUAAGUUUGCCGCCUGGGGCGUACGGUCGCAAGACUGAAACUUAAAGGAAUUGGCGGGGGAGCA
rnacentral:rRNA from 1 species